CCUCUGUCCCUUCCCCCACCUCCCGGAAAAGCCAGCAAGAGCCGUGCAAUCUUCAAAGGGAGCGCGGCUCUUGGGGGCUUUUCCGGGAGCUGGGGGAAGGGACAGAGG